rnacentral:rRNA from 1 species
GUGUCAGCAGCCGCGGUAAUACGGAGGGUGCAAACAUUGCUCGGAAUCAUUGGGCGUAAAGCGCACGUAGGCGGUCCGUUAAGUCGGGAGUGGAAGCCCCAGGCUCAACUUGGGAAGUGCUUUCGAAACUGGCGGACUUGAAUACUGAAGAGGAUCGCGGAAUUCCCGGUGUAGAGGUGAAAUUCGUAGAUAUCGGGAGGAACACCAGCGGCGAAGGCGGCGAUCUGGGCAGAUAUUGACGCUGAGGUGCGAAAGCGUGGGGAGCAAACAGGAUUAGAUACCCUAGUAGUCC